rnacentral:lncRNA from 10 species
CAGAGUCGCCCCAUAGUGUCUCUGUCAAGUUUGGUUCCAAACAGACUAAGUUCUGCUCUUUUCCUAGCAAGUUAGAAGCCCUAGUACAAUGAUUCUAAAUCCCGCUGCUACAUUAGAAACAUUUGAAGAGCUUCGUAAACACCAGCAGCCCACCCCCGGGCCUGUGUAUGCUAUCCAGGGUGAACAAUAACCACUGGACCGCUACUGUUGAAGGCAGGUCGUGAGACUCUGAGCCCUGACUCUUGGCAGGACAGGAGGCCCACAAUCAUGUGGCUUUCAUUCCUUUCUGGCUUUAGAUUCCAUUGUCUUUUAAGUAAAACUUGGGUUCAUUAAUUUGUUUAAGCAGUGCCCUAGUAGCUACAGAAGCUGAUAGUAAAAAUCCUAACUAUAAUGGCAACACAUGUGCCAAGCACUGCUUAUACAUUACAUGUAUUAACUCUUUAUCCUCAAAACAAUCUCAUGAGGUAGAUGGUACCAUAAUCCAUAGUUCCUAGAUAGGAAAACUGAGGCACAGAGAUUCUAAAUUCACUCCAGGUCACAAAACUAGGAGACCACCAAGCUUUGCUGCCUCCAAGUGAUUAGACAGCUAGAUCUGCUCUGAUGACCUAACAUUAGAGUCCUUGUACCUUCUGCAGAGAUCUUCCUUAGAACAGUGCUUCUCAUACAAAUGUUGGUACCAACCAUCGGAACAUCAAGCUCCCAGGUAAGGCGACUGCUGCCAGUCUCUGCAUCACAUGCUGAGUAGCAAGGUCUUAGGGCUCUCUCCUUCCCAUCUUGUAAUUUGACAGUUAGAUGCCUCAGUGCGUAAGAACUUAAGAAUCCAACAAUUUCUCCUUUUCUGACACACAACCUCAUGUGGAAACUUAGUUGGCAGUAGCACUGUGUCCUUAUAGUCAGGAUACCCCUUGGGCAAGGAACUUGGUAACUGAAUGCUCAAUGCUGAACAUGCACCUAAUUUUGAGGCUUCACUGGGUGCCAUGAAGCAAGACUGAUUUGAAAACAGCACUUACGGGAUCUGACUGCAUACAUGCAGAGUCAGAAUAAUUUGGCCUGCAGCCAAAAUGAGCUGGGCCACAAACAGACUUAAAAAAAAUUAACUCAUUUUUGUAAAGUCCCAUUAAAUGGAUAUGCAAAUGGAAGUGCAGGGAGACAAAAUGUGACCCUUGCUAGCAGAGAGUCUAUUAGCAGAAGGCUGGUGUGUCAGUUUGGGACACAUUCCAUAAACCUCUGAGAAGUUAAACUUCCCCCUCAGAAUUUGGAGGCCUGAGCUAUACACAGCACUGAGCAGGCCACUGCUAGGAUGCCUGAGGAUCCUGCAGCACAGAGGCAGCUCUAAUGCAUCUAUCCAGCUAAGCUGCACAGGCUUGCUGGAUGCCCUGACAACUCGCAAGUAGCACUGCAGCUCCAAGGCUUGCUGCCUAAGUUGCUGGGAGGUGGCUGUAGAGAACACCUGAAGAUGGCCUCCAGUCCCUAACACGAAUGCACACCCUGUGGCAUCAAGUACCACACGCAUUCAUCUGAGAAAGAUGCUGCUCUGAGUACAGAAGCACUGCCACCUUCCAAGCUCUGAGUCUGGCAAAGAAAGAAACGGGUAAAGCCAGUGGUAGAUUCAAGCCAUGGAGCUAAUCUAAGGUGAAGUGGGACCCUGAAG